UAUUAGUAGCGCUGCUCCCGGCUCCUUCCCCACCGAAGGCAGUGCUGCUAAUAUAGAUCACAGGCACAGCAGGCAGCGCUGGGCAAUCUGUUUCUGUGAGUCUCUCCUACGUAUGCUGCUGGGCUCUGCUCCGCCCCCCCUCCUCCUGCUCUCCUGCACUGUACACUGGCUUCCGUGUACAGGAGAGACGAUGGCUGCAGCUGCUGCUUAUCACAGCAAGUGAAGUCUCUUCCUCCGUCCCUCCCACCCCUCGUGCAAGUGCUGCUUAUAUUGUAGGUAACUGAAGAUGGCUUUGACAAAAGAGGAGAUAAUUGAGGUCAUUUUGAUGUCUGGAGAACGAAGUUUCCGUGUCAUAGUUGCAGAUUUUAACAACCGGCACCUAGAAAGACCUCCAAUUUCACAUAACACUGUCAGGUGCCUAAUUUUCAAAUUCCAAGAAACUGGGACUGUGGCUGACAAGUCACGGAGUGGUCAUCCAAAAAGUGCUACUGACGAGACAACCUCAACAAUGGUUUUGGCAUCCUUCGUGAAGAGCCCACAAUGCAGCACAACGCCCACACAUUAAAUGACUGUUCUUUAUGGAGAACAGUUCAGCCUGUAAUUCCAACAAAAAAAGUGUUGUAACUUUUGAACCAUAACUGCUAUUUCAAAUCUGUUUGCAGCAAUACACUUUUCAGCAAGUUCUAA